rnacentral:tRNA from 1 species
GGAUAGCUCAGUUAGUUAGAGCUUGGUGCCAAGGUUGCAGGUUCGAUCCCUGCAUGGAACA